ACGGAAGGCAGCAGUGAGGAAUAUUGGUCAAUGGGCGAGAGCCUGAACCAGCCAAGUAGCGUGAAGGAUGACUGCCCUACGGGUUGUAAACUUCUUUUAUACGGGAAUAAAAAAGGCCACGUGUGGCCUCUUGUAUGUACCGUAUGAAUAAGCAUCGGCUAAUUCCGUGCCAGCAGCCGCGGUAAUACGGAAGAUGCGAGCGUUAUCCGGAUUUAUUGGGUUUAAAGGGAGCGUAGGCGGGUCUUUAAGUCAGUGGUCAAAGCGUGUGGCUCAACCAUACCACGCCAUUGAUACUGGAGACCUUGAGUGCACAUAAGGAUGGUGGAAUUCGUCGUGUAGCGGUGAAAUGCUUAGAUAUCACGAAGAACUCCGACUGCGAAGGCAGCCGCCUGGGGUGCAACUGACACUGAGGCUCGAAGGUGCGGGAAUCAAACAGGAUUAGAUACCCUGGUA
rnacentral:rRNA from 1 species